GUUGCAGGAAUAUUCCUUUCGAAGUUGUGACGACCUCCAUAGACUGAUUAUAACCACAGUUAUAAUCAGUCUAUGGAGGUCGUCACAACUUCGAAAGCAGUUAUGCUAC